CAAAUGUCUUGUGAAGGUUAGAGUCCGUUUACUUUGUGCAAAAGGAAACUUUACUUUGUACAAAUAACUCAUUUUGCAGACAGAAAUACAUCAAAGGAGUAUCUAACAUUCAAUGAAACGGAUAAACCCCCAAUCAAACAAAUAGGUCAGAUUUACAAUGGAGCUGUUCAGGUUUUCUCUUUAUUCUGCACAGUGUUGCAAUGGACUCAAAUGACUUCAAAGGACUUCUUGAUGGAAACGGUAUAAAUGGAGCUCCCAGGUGAAAUCCAGAACCCACGUCCUCUGAGUGGUAAGUCAAUGAUGGAGGUCCUGGAAGACUUGACCAUUCUAGCAGACUAAAACUACAUUGUUGGAUGGUUCAAUUAUGCUUCAUUUUAUUUGUAAUUCCUAGUAACACUUAAUGUGAAUUGGUUUCUAGAUGUUUAACUAUAUACAGUAUCACUCCAUUGUCCACUAACGACCCACUACU
rnacentral:lncRNA from 1 species